UGCUGUAGCUCAGUCGGUAGAGCAACUGAUUCGUAAUCAGUAGGUCACCAGUUCGAUUCCGGUCAGCAG
rnacentral:tRNA from 1 species